UACGAAGGGGGCUAGCGUUGUUCGGAAUUACUGGGCGUAAAGCGCGCGCAGGCGGUCUUCCAAGUCAGUGGUGAAAGCCCGGAGCUCAACUCCGGAACUGCCAUUGAAACUGUUGGACUUGAGUACGAGAGAGGUGAGUGGAAUUCCCAGUGUAGAGGUGAAAUUCGUAGAUAUUGGGAAGAACACCGGUGGCGAAGGCGGCGAUCUGGGUCGAUACUGACGCUGAGGUGCGAAAGCGUGGGGAGCAAACAGG
rnacentral:rRNA from 1 species